UCAGAUUGAACGCUGGCGGCAGGCCUAACACAUGCAAGUCGAGCGGUAACAUUUCUAAGCUUGCUUAGAAGAUGACGAGCGGCGGACGGGUGAGUAAUGCUUGGGGAUCUGCCUGAUGGCGGGGGACAACCACUGGAAACGGUGGCUAAUACCGCAUAAUACCUAUGGGUCAAAGUGUGGGACCUUCGGGCCACACGCCAUCAGAUGAACCCAAGUGAGAUUAGCUGGUUGGUAAGGUAACGGCUUACCAAGGCGACGAUCUCUAGCUGGUCUGAGAGGAUGAUCAGCCACACUGGGACUGAGACACGGCCCAGACUCCUACGGGAGGCAGCAGUGGGGAAUAUUGGACAAUGGGGGCAACCCUGAUCCAGCCAUGCCGCGUGUGUGAAGAAGGCCUUCGGGUUGUAAAGCACUUUCAGUGGUGAGGAAGGUGGUGUCGUUAAUAGCGGCAUCAAUUGACGUUAGCCACAGAAGAAGCACCGGCUAACUCCGUGCCAGCAGCCGCGGUAAUACGGAGGGUGCGAGCGUUAAUCGGAAUUACUGGGCGUAAAGCGCACGUAGGCGGUAUGUUAAGCAAGAUGUGAAAGCCCAGAGCUCAACUCUGGAAUAGCAUUUUGAACUGGCAUGCUAGAGUUUUGGAGAGGGUGGUAGAAUUUCCAGUGUAGCGGUGAAAUG
rnacentral:rRNA from 1 species